rnacentral:rRNA from 1 species
UACGUAGGGCGCAAGCGUUAUCCGGAAUUAUUGGGCGUAAAGAGCUCGUAGGCGGUUUGUCGCGUCUGCCGUGAAAGUCCGGGGCUCAACUCCGGAUCUGCGGUGGGUACGGGCAGACUAGAGUGAUGUAGGGGAGACUGGAAUUCCUGGUGUAGCGGUGAAAUGCGGCAGAUAUCAGGAGGAACACCGAUGGCGAAGGCAGGUCUCUGGGCAUCAAACUGACGCUGAGGAGCGAAAGCAUGGGGAGCGAACAGG